rnacentral:rRNA from 1 species
UACGUAGGCAGCGAGCGUUGUUCGGAGUUACUGGGCGUAAAGAGUGCGUAGGCGGUUUUCUAAGUUUGGUGUGAAAUCUCCCGGCUUAACUGGGAGGGUGCGCCGAAGACUGGAAGGCUUGAGUAUGGGAGAGGUAAGCGGAAUUCCACGUGUAGCGGUGAAAUGCGUAGAUAUGUGGAGGAACACCUGUGGCGAAGGCGCCUUGCUGGCCAAUUUCUGACGCUGAGGCGCGAAAGCGUGGGGAGCAAACAGG